rnacentral:rRNA from 1 species
GACGAACGCUGGCGGCGUGCUUAACACAUGCAAGUCGAACGGAAAGGCCCUGCUCUUGUGGGGUGCUCGAGUGGCGAACGGGUGAGUAACACGUGAGUAACCUGCCCUUGACUUUGGGAUAACUUCAGGAAACUGGGGCUAAUACCGGAUAGGAGCUCCUGCUGCACGGUGGGGGUUGGAAAGUUUCGGCGGUUGGGGAUGGACUCGCGGCUUAUCAGCUUGUUGGUGGGGUAGUGGCUUACCAAGGCUUUGACGGGUAGCCGGCCUGAGAGGGUGACCGGCCACAUUGGGACUGAGGUACGGCCCAGACUCCUACGGGAGGCAGCAGUGGGGAAUAUUGCGCAGUGGGCGGGAGCCUGAUGCAGCGACGCCGCGUGCGGGAUGACGGCCUUCGGGUUGUAAACCGCUUUCGCCUGUGACGAAGCGUGAGUGACGGUAAUGGGUAAAGAAGCACCGGCUAACUACGUG